rnacentral:rRNA from 1 species
GAUGAACGCUAGCUACAGGCUUAACACAUGCAAGUCGAGGGGCAGCAUGGUCUUAGCUUGCUAAGGCCGAUGGCGACCGGCGCACGGGUGAGUAACACGUAUCCAACCUGCCGUCUACUCUUGGACAGCCUUCUGAAAGGAAGAUUAAUACAAGAUGGCAUCAUGAGUCCGCAUGUUCACAUGAUUAAAGGUAUUCCGGUAGACGAUGGGGAUGCGUUCCAUUAGAUAGUAGGCGGGGUAACGGCCCACCUAGUCUUCGAUGGAUAGGGGUUCUGAGAGGAAGGUCCCCCACAUUGGAACUGAGACACAGUCCAAACUCCUACGGGAGGCAGCAGUGAGGAAUAUUGGUCAAUGGGCGAGAGCCUGAGCCAGCCAAGUAGCGUGAAGGAUGACUGCCCUAUGGGUUGUAAACUUCUUUUAUAAAGGAAUAAAGUCGGGUAUGCAUACCCGUUUGCAUGUACUUUAUGAAUAAGGAUCGGCUAACUCCGUGCCAGCAGCCGCGGUAAUACGGAGGAUCCGAGCGUUAUCCGGAUUUAUUGGGUUUAAAGGGAGCGUAGAUGGAUGUUUAAGUCAGUUGUGAAAGUUUGCGGCUCAACCGUAAAAUUGCAGUUGAUACUGGAUAUCUUGAGUGCAGUUGAGGCAGGCGGAAUUCGUGGUGUAGCGGUGAAAUGCUUAGAUAUCACGAAGAACUCCGAUUGCGAAGGCAGCCUGCUAAGCUGCAACUGACAUUGAGGCUCGAAAGUGUGGGUAUCAAACAGGAUUAGAUACCCUGGUAGUCCACACGGUAAACGAUGAAUACUCGCUGUUUGCGAUAUACAGCAAGCGGCCAAGCGAAAGCGUUAAGUAUUCCACCUGGGGAGUACGCCGGCAACGGUGAAACUCAAAGGAAUUGACGGGGGCCCGCACAAGCGGAGGAACAUGUGGUUUAAUUCGAUGAUACGCGAGGAACCUUACCCGGGCUUAAAUUGCAGAUGAAUUACGGUGAAAGCCGUAAGCCGCAAGGCAUCUGUGAAGGUGCUGCAUGGUUGUCGUCAGCUCAUGCCGUGAGGUGUCGGCUUAAGUGCCAUAACGAGCGCAACCCUCGUUGUCAGUUACUAACAGGUUCUGCUGAGGACUCUGACAAGACUGCCAUCGUAAGAUGUGAGGAAGGUGGGGAGGACGUCAAAUCAGCACGGCCCCUACGUCCGGGGGUACACACGUGUUACAAUGGGGGGUACAGAGGGUCGCUACCACGCGAGUGGAUGCCAAUCCCAAAAACCUCUCUCAGUUCGGACUGGAGUCUGCAACCCGACUCCACGAAGCUGGAUUCGCUAGUAAUCGCGCAUCAGCCACGGCGCGGUGAAUAAAAGGGCGGGCCUUGCACA